rnacentral:rRNA from 1 species
UACGUAGGGGGCAAGCGUUGUCCGGAAUCAUUGGGCGUAAAGAGCGUGUAGGCGGCCAGAAAAGUCCGCUGUGAAAACUCGAGGCUCAACUUCGAGCUGUCGGUGGAAACCGUAAAGCUAGAGUCCGGAAGAGGAGAGUGGAAUUCCUGGUGUAGCGGUGAAAUGCGCAGAUAUCAGGAGGAACACCCAUGGCGAAAGCGGCUCUCUGGGACGGUACUGACGCUGAGACGCGAAAGCGUGGGGAGCAAACAGG